rnacentral:lncRNA from 1 species
AUGAUUAUGUCUCAGUAUGAGUCAGUGGUUGAAAUUAGUGCUAGUGUGUAUGAGAUACUGUGCAAGGUCUAUGAUCUGCACAGUGGCCACUUUAUGGCCUAUAAGAGUCCCCAAUGAAGGAGAAACUUGAGUGAGCCUUUCCAUCAGCAUGGGUUUUGAGGUGUCUAACUGAGGAGGCUGGAAGCAUUUGAGCAUGCCUAUGUUGUGUGGUUGAUGGAUGUUCCAGGUUUGCCAGCUAAGGUCAUAAAGGUUCUCAUGUGACAGUAUCUGAGAGGCCUAGAUUUCCUUCAUGCAAAUUGUAUCAGUCACCAAAAUCUGAGGUCAGAGAAUCUUGAGAUCUUGUGACAAAUGGUGAGACCUGAAAGCUGGCUAAUUUUGGCCUAGGUGGAUAAGUGGCACGUUGGUUGUAUCUUUGCAGAGGUGUUUCCUUGAGACCCUGUGUUCUGUGGAAAUUCUGAAGCUAACUGCCAAAAAUCUUUGAUGUUGUAGGACUGCCUCCAGAAGAUGACUGCCUAUGAUACUGCAAGGAGCUGCUUCUUAGAGAGCGGGCCUAGGCCAGUGCAAUUAGUGGUGUUGGAUGUAGAGGGGUCUGAAAUAUAGCCAGCUACACUGCAAAUGCUGACCUUGCAAAUACUGACUUUUAACCCACUUAAGUGCAUCUCUGCCCACUCUUGUGCACAUAAGGAAGAAGGUGGUCCAGAUGA